GAUGAACGCUGGCGGCGUGCCUAAUACAUGCAAGUCGAGCGAACGGACGAGAAGCUUGCUUCUCUGAUGUUAGCGGCGGACGGGUGAUUAACACGUGGAUAACCUACCUAUCAGACUUGGAUAACUGCGGGAAACCGGAGCUCAUACCGGAUAAUAUUUUGAACCGCAUGGUUCAAAAGUGAAAGACGGUCUUGCUGUCACUUAUAGAUGGAUCCGCGCUGCAUUAGCUAGUUGGUAAGGUAACGGCUUACCAAGGCAACGAUGCAUAGCCGACCUGAGAGGGUGAUCGGCCACACUGGGACUGAGACACGGUCCAGACUCCUACGGGAGGCAGCAGUAGGGAAUCUUCCGCAAUGGGCGAAAGCCUGACGGAGCAACGCCGCGUGAGUGAUGAAGGUCUUCGGAUCGUAAAACUCUGUUAUUAGGGAAGAACAUAUGUGUAAGUAACUGUGCACAUCUUGACGGUACCUAAUCAGAAAGCCACGGCUAACUACGUG
rnacentral:rRNA from 1 species